rnacentral:rRNA from 1 species
UGAGGAAUAUUGGGCAAUGCCCGCAAGGGUGACCCAGCAACGCCGCGUGGAGGAUGAAUGUCGUAAGAUUGUAAACUCCUGUUAGAGGGGAAGAAUAGUACCGGUUGGACCGGUAUAUGACUGUACCCUCAGAGAAAGCCCCGGCUAACUACGUGCCAGCAGCCGCGGUAAUACGUAGGGGGCAAGCGUUGUCCGGAUUUACUGGGUGUAAAGGGCGCGCAGGCGGGAUAAAAAGUCAGUGGUGAAAUCCUACAGCUUAACUGUAGAACUGCCUUUGAUACUUUUAUUCUUGAGCUCGGGAGAGAGAGACGGAAUUCCAGGUGUAGUGGUGAAAUACGUAGAUAUCUGGAAGAACACCAGUUGCGAAGGCGGUCUCUUGGUCCGACACUGACGCUGAGGCGCGAAAGCGUGGGGAGCAAACA